rnacentral:rRNA from 1 species
CGGGGUAACCUGCCUCAUACAGGGGGAUAACAGUUAGAAAUGACUGCUAAUACCGCAUAAGCGCACAGCAUUGCAUGAUGCCGUGUGAAAAACUCUGGUGGUAUGAGAUGGACCCGCGUCUGAUUAGCUAGUUGGUGAGGUAACGGCCCACCAAGGCGACGAUCAGUAGCCGACCUGAGAGGGUGACCGGCCACAUUGGGACUGAGACACGGCCCAA